AACGAACGCUGGCGGCAGGCCUAACACAUGCAAGUCGAACGGGCGUAGCAAUACGUCAGUGGCAGACGGGUGAGUAACGCGUGGGAACGUACCCUUCGGUUCGGAAUAACCCGGGGAAACUCGGGCUAAUACCGGAUACGUCCGCAAGGAGAAAGAUUUAUCGCCGAUGGAUCGGCCCGCGUCGGAUUAGCUAGUUGGUGGGGUAAUGGCCCACCAAGGCGACGAUCCGUAGCUGGUCUGAGAGGAUGAUCAGCCACACUGGGACUGAGACACGGCCCAGACUCCUACGGGUGGCAG
rnacentral:rRNA from 1 species